CUGGUUUCUAUAAGAAAGAGGGUUUCAAGUUCUACUCUAUUAAGGUCCAUGAAGACUUGUGUUCGAUUCUGAAUAUCCAUUCCAGACAGAUCAACCUAUAUCAAUGAGCAAGUGUAAUAUUCAUUCACUACAUGUUGAGGACAGGUGAACAGAAUUCCUCUGUCAAAUUUCUUCCACAGUGAUAUAAUUGGCUAGCACUUCAAAGAAACUGAGGAGCCCUCAUGAACAAAUUGUCCAACAGUCAAACACCUUGUAAAGUUACCAAGUCAGAUGAAGACUGUUAAUUAAUGGAAACUUGCAAUACCAGCCUUUAUGCAUUAUGAGAUUACUAAAUAUAAUACCUGGUGAUAUAGCAUCUUUUCUUAUUGUUCACUCUGAUAAAAAUGUUGGAGAAAUGUAUUAGAAAUGAUUGGUAUAUUAAAAUAUAUGAUUCAAGGUAUUUCUAUUUAAAAAGGGACAAAAAAAUUGGAAACAAGUGAUAAUAUACAAUAAAAACAAGACGCUUAAACUUGUGGUUCUGGAACUGGGUUCUGAUUUACCCAGAUUCUUUUAGGAUUCAGCUUCAAAAUUAAUUGUUUUUCAUGUUUAUUUCUAUACUAGAACCUGACCUUAGAUUGACUCCAUUUUUGUUUUUAUGAUAAAUUAAGGCUAUCGGUGGUGGUUACAAUAGCCAAACAAAGUUGGGAUUAAAAUGACUUUUUGAUAAACAUAUGGAUGGUGAUUGGUGAAGUAAUUAGCUGUAAAUGUUUUAGAUGGAGAGAAUGGGUGUUUAAUGGAGAGAAUGGGUGUUUUUUUUUUUAAAUCUACUUAUUACUACUUUUGGAAUUUUUCUUCUCAGUCCUCUGAAGAAAUCCAUUUCUUUUUCAGAAUCCUCUGAAAAAUAUAUAUACUAUUUCGCCUGGGACAAAAUCCUUCUUGACUUUGUAAGCUAUCAAGAUAUCAUUGGUUGAUUGAUUAUGUGUCAUCCAGUCGUUUUCCACUUCUAGCAAAUACAUAGAUCCCCCCCCCCAAUGAUCUAUCCCUAACUUGUCAGGUCUGACAAUGGUGUAUCCAUCGCCACUGUAAGAGACUCCACUCACCUUGCUGCUGCUUAUCCUCUUCUUCUCUGUCUUUCCAUCUUUCUCAGCAUUAGAGUUAUUUCACAUAAUAUGUACAAAUCAAGAGCUUGUUACAAAUUAUGAAAUGUUAAAUUAAAAUAUAAGUAUCUAUUAAUGCAAAAAUAUUAAGGUUAGGUGGAUUCAGUUAAAUAUUAAUUGUCUUCACUAGGGAUUUAUGUUUCAACUUUCUUGGUUUAUUUAGGACAUGUUGCUUAAUUUUAAUUAUGUGCCCUGCUGAGCUUGAGUAGUGUCAUUCUAUUGUCACCAGUAUGCUGUAUUUCUGCCACCACUUACCUACUUACUUACUUCUGGGUCCCAUAAUAUUGCUGUAGCCAUCACUAUGGACACAACUCUGAAUUCAUAGGAAUCCAAACACAUGCUCAGAGGUAUGUAUCAAAGCAGUUUUCAGACUUCAGCUUAUGCCAAAUUGAUGUUUAUAUGUGAGGAUUCACUCCAAGUUAAAAAAAAAAAAAAGCUUCUCACAUGAGUGUCCUUAGGUAUGCUUACUUGCUGGAGUAAUCCAGAAGACCUACCGUAGGCAAUAUGCCAAACUAGUAUCAGAGCGUUCUACUUUCUUACACAUAUUAUAUCUGCAGAAAGAAAGUUCUGAAUUUCAUAUUGAUUUCUGGCUAGUAAUUGAACUGAAACCCUACAGCUUUCCUGGCAAGAUGCUUUUUGGUGCACUGUGGUUUGGGGGUUGCUUUCCUUCCACCCCCAUAGCACAAAGGCCAGCUCUAGCCUGGCACGAAAGGGACUUUUUGGUGCACUCUGACUCUGGGGCUGUUUUUUUGCUUCUUCUUCAUUUUCGUCACAUGAAACAGCCCCAGCUUGACCCAGCAGCCAGACCUGACACAUCUUGUCAUCCAUGGAGAUGGAUGUAAUUUCAGGCAUUGGUCAUAAAUUAGUUCGUUCAGUGCAACCAUAACUUUAAGCAGUCACUGAAUGAAUGGUCUUAAGUCAAAGAUUACCUGAAUAUAUUUUAUUGUGCUUUAAACUGAUUGUUGCAACUACUAAUCUGAUGUGGUGGUGAAUUAUAUGUAGGUGUAUUCCUGAAGUUUGAACUGUAAGAGCAACAAGGAAUUAUUUGAAAAGUAGUAAUUUGCCUUUUCAGGACACACAAUAUUGACAAGUGAUGUAAAGAAGCAUAACUCUUUACUGCUUUAAAUUUUCCAAAUGUUCUUUGAAACUGUCAGCUAAUAUAACGUUAGCGACACUUUGAAGACAAUUUUGAUUUUUUUUUUUCAAGUAACAGAGUAGUAUGCCUAAGCUGCCAGGCCAUUGUUCUUUUCUUUUAGAAAUGCAAAACAAACUGUAGCAACUAAUCACACUACAUAACACUUAACAUAAAGUUCCCCACUGAACACACACAUGAAUUAUGGCUGAAUGCAUGUGAUGCAGUGUUACUUGUGAAACAGUUUCCUUUACAUCACAGGAGAACACAAAUAAAAUAAACCACCUACAUGUUUCUUCCUCCAGGUAUGUAGGAAGUCAUAGUUCCAGUUCAUAGGAGCGGAUCUGAAUACAGUAAGUUUUUCAACAAAGGAAUUCCUUCCAAAGAAAGAAGCAGAAUAAGAUUGAUGGAUUAGAAUGUAAGUUCGUCUGGGAGGAAAUUGAGACAAUAGUUUUGUUGUCCUACCAUCACCAUUAAUUAAUACAGCAGCAAGGAACUUUAAACCAGUCUUUGUGAAGAGAGUUCUCUAGUUUGAUGUUUUUGCUUCAUAACAGGUGCAGAGACAUCAGAAAACAGGCAGACAGGUGCACCUGCAAUCCAUGCAUUUAGGUGAAGCAGCCAGACUAGAAGUUCCAAUCACUAGUCUAGUUUGGUUCAAAUCCCAAAUUCUCAUUCUACUUUAAGAGAAAUGGUAGAAUGAGCAAAUGCAGAGAAAGUAAAAGAGCCAGCAAGUGUAUAAUAAUGUAAAUUAAAUGGUUUAAAAAGAGAUGGAUGAAGAGAAGUGAGAAUUUGUCCUUCCAGCUGUUAAAUAGUUUUGGAGCCACCUUGGACAACAGUAUUGGUUGCUUGCAGCUAUUUUGAUUCCAGCUUCUCACUUUUUGCUAAGGCUACCCUCACAGUCAUGAAUGAUUAUUGAUAUUUUUAUCCUCUUUUCAUCCCCUGCAUUAUACCGGCUCAUUUCCUUUCAAAAUUUCAUGGGAGGUUUUAAACCAACUUUCCUCACUCUGGUGUUCUCCAGAUGCAUUGAUCUACGCCUUCUAACAUCCAUGGCCAAUGGCAUUAUUCUUCAGGCUGAUGGAAGUUGCAGUUCAACACAACUGGGAGGUUGCAUUGUUAUUUUUUUCCUGUUUAGGAAAAUAAAAUCACAACACACCUGUGGGAAGAUAAGGACCCAAAAAGGUACACCUGGGAAGCUGCUGAGGAAUUCUGAGAGUUGAAGUCCACACGUCAUAAAAGGGCCAGGUUUGAAGACCCCUGGACUAUAUAAUGGAAGAUACCAGAUGACUAAAAUUAGUAAAAGAAAUUAUUAAAUCCAGAUGCUUACAACAUUGGAGACUCCCUUCCUAUUCAGCUGUGGGCCUUCUUUGCACAAUGUUCCCAAAAUAGGAUAAUUUGAGCUAGGUCCCUCAGCAAUGUUUGGAGGAACUGUGUAAGAUACACCAAAAGAUACAACCACGGAACCAUGGAACUUGUGUACCCAAACUUACAUGAAUGAGAUCUUAUCAUCAGGGCCACCACUUCAUGUAUCUCCUCUUAGAUAAGUAGUACAAUUGCAAUAAUUUACUACAUUCCUAGAUAUAAUAAUAAACUGAAUUGAGAUUGCCUCAAAGAAGAUUUAUAUAAUAUUGCAUGAGUUUAAAACUAGUCUCAGUUACCAACUCAUUAGAUGGAUUUCCACAUCAGUUUCCUUUCUAGAAGAAAUAUUGCAAGAGUUAUGCUGUGUUUCAUUAAAAGUGCCAGGCUAGAAACCAAGAGACGGGGAGUUCUUAGGCACGAAGGCCCAUCCACUUCACAGGGUUAUUGUUGUGAUGAUAAUAGGAAGAGGAAAGAGAGUUAGGCAUUCACUACCUAGUUAUAAAAAAAAUAAUGAAAUUGGGAUUAUAAAUAAAAUAAAAUAAAUAAAACAAAAAUAAAAUAAAAUAAUAAAUAGUUAUGCACUUAUGAGACGACUUGCCUUGUCCCAGCUCUAGUCAGUUUAGGAAGAGGAAAUUGAAGAUACAAGUCAAGUCCCAUGCAAUAGACGAACUGGCUAUUUCUGCAUAGAAUUAGCCAGAUGAAGUUAUGAAAGGGGUUUUAUAUCAACCAUUUCUGUUUCAGCCCACCUUAGUACCUUCAUUUGCACCAUAACAAUGUUUUCUUUUUAGCUUUCAGAGUUGGCAUCAGCGCUAUUGGCUGACAUAAUGUGUAAGGUGUAAUUGGUAUAAAUGCUACCAUGUGCAUGGUGUGGUACUGCCCACCCAAUGGAAUUAUUUCAGAUGUACAAACUGUACCACACCUGAGUGACUCUACAGUUUAUCAAUGUACAUAAUGGGGGUUUGCAAUUUCAAGAAUUUCUUUGUAUGCCAACGUCUCCUGAGUUUGUGCUUUCUCUGCUGCACUCUAGAUGGCAUUAUGAUGCUGAAACCAGUGACCUACCGCAGAUUAUAAUCUUUCUGGGAGAGUAUAAUAGGUGCCCUCUUUAUAAAAUGUGACUGCCACUUGAACCUUCUGCAAAAUACUAUUUUUCUUCUUGUUGGCUCUGCAUUUGAGAAAAAAGCUUGAAAUAAGAACAGCUUGAGAAGAUAGCUGACUGAUAAAUGGAUUGCUACUGAGAGUACACAGUGGUAAAACAGAUGAGCUUCUAUCUUUCCUUGCUUUUUUUUAAAUGAUAAAAACCAUAUCUUAGUGAACCUUGUAAUAAUUAGGGAAAAGAGCCGAGGUGGUGCAGCAGUUAGAGUGCAGUACUGCAGGCCACUUUAGCUGACUGUGUUCAGCAGGUCAGCGGUUCAAAUCUCACCGGCUCAAGGUUGACUCAGCCUUCCAU